rnacentral:rRNA from 1 species
UACGUAGGUGGCAAGCGUUGUCCGGAUUCACUGGGUGUAAAGGGUGCGCAGGCGGAUUGGCAAGUCAGAGGUGAAAUCUCACGGCUUAACCGUGAAACUGCCUUUGAUACUGCUAACCUUGAGUUAGGGAGAGGUUGAUGGAAUUCCAGGCGUAGCGGUGAAAUGCGUAGAUAUCUGGAAGAACACCAGUGGCGAAGGCGGUCAACUGGCCCUUAACUGACGCUCAUGCACGAAAGCGUGGGUAGCGAACAGG